rnacentral:rRNA from 1 species
ACUACCCUAUCGAGCACGAUACUCUCGGGAACUGAGGCUAAUAGUGCAUACGGCUCGGUGUCUGGAGUGACCCGAGUCAGAAACGCUCAGGCGCGAUAGGAUGUGGCUGCGGCCGAUUAGGUAGACGGUGGGGUAACGGCCCACCGUGCCAAUAAUCGGUACGGGUUGUGAGAGCAAGAGCCCGGAGACGGUAUCUGAGACAAGAUACCGGGCCCUACGGGGCGCAGCAGGCGCGAAACCUUUACACUGCACGCGAGUGCGAUAAGGGGACUCCAAGUGCGAGGGCAUAUAGUCCUCGCUUUUUCCGACCGUAGGAUGGUCGGCGAAUAAGUGCUGGGCAAGACCGGUGCCAGCCGCCGCGGUAAUACCGGCAGCACGAGUGAUGACCGCUAUUAUUGGGCCUAAAGCGUCCGUAGCUGGCCACGCAAGUCCAUCGGGAAAUCUCUCCGCUCAACGGAGAGGCGUCCGGUGGAAACUGUGUGGCUUGGGACCGGAAGAUCCAGAGGGUACGUCUGGGGUAGGAGUGAAAUCCCGUAAUCCGAGACGGACCACCGGUGGCGAAAGCGCUCUGGAAAGACGGAUCCGACGGUGAGGGACGAAAGCUCGGGUCACGAACCGGAUUAGAUACCCGGGUAGUCCGAGCUGUAAACGAUGUCUGCUAGGUGUGACACAGGCUACGAGCCUGUGUUGUGCCGUAGGGAAGCCGUGAAGCAGACCGCCUGGGAAGUACGUCUGCAAGGAUGAAACUUAAAGGAAUUGGCGGGGGAGCACUACAACCGGAGGAGCCUGCGGUUUAAUUGGACUCAACGCCGGACAUCUCACCAGCAUCGACAGUGUGCAGUGAAAGUCAGUGUGAUGAGCUUACUGGAGCCACUGAGAGGAGGUGCAGCCGC